UUGUUGUAUUCCUACUGUAUAUUCCUGACAUUGUGGGAAUGUACGUGUAAUGUCCCAUUCUGACAUGUUCAAUGAAUAUGUGUAUAUACUAAAUGAAGCCCCAAAUAAGACUUUGUGAUCAUCAUCUUUGUAUAUUCUAAGGGGAUCUUUUCCUUCCUCUUCUACAAGAUUAAAAUCAUCUGUUAUUCUUUGUUCUGGAGUCCAAUUAUCAUGAAAUGUCGUGAUUGUG